GUUCCUGUAGCGCAAUGAAUGGCGCGCGCGCGUGUUGGACUUCUAAUCCAAAGGUCGUGAGUUCGAAUCUUACCUGGGAUG
rnacentral:tRNA from 1 species